rnacentral:ncRNA from 1 species
AUAAAGCAAUGAAAAGGGAAUCGGGUGCAAAUCCCGAACAGACCCGCUGCUGUGUAGUUCGAUAGAUUUUAGACAAACAACUACAAUGCCACUAAUCCAAUGUGAUUGGGAAGGCGUCUAAAAUAGAACAAGUCAGAAGACCUGCCGGUUACAUAAU